rnacentral:rRNA from 11 species
AACAAGGGCAUACGUAACCUAAAGGUGCUAGACUCCAUUAGAUCUUGGAAGCUAAGCAAGGUUAGCUCUAGUUAAUACUUGAAUAGGAGAUGAUCAAUGAAUACCAGGUGCUUUUGGGC